CUGCAUCUCUCCUCAAGCACGAGCAUCCCUGAGGUUGUAGCAACAAUUUCUAUGUCGUUUUCGUCAAUAACCAGACGCUAUUCCCCUUAUCUACAAGUUUCAGGUGUUUUUGGCAGAUGAGAUUGGCAGCUUUAAGAAGAUGCGUCAUGUAUUUUGAAAUCCAGAGAAAGAUAAUAAGCAAAUCAAUUUUUAAAGAUGAUUUUGUCAACACAUCACGCCAUGAUUCAAAGGAUAAAGCUGCAGCGUGCAAAUGGGUACUCAAA